rfam:Oryza glumipatula chromosome 5, whole genome shotgun sequence.
UAUACCCUGGGCUUCCGUGUCCAACGUUUGACUGUCCGUCUUAUAUAAAUUUUUUUAUAAUUAUUAUUUGUAUUGUUGUUAGAUGAUAAAACAUGAUUAAUACUUUAUAUGCGUGACUUGUCUUUUUAAUUUUUUUCAUAUUUUUUUUAAAUAACACGGACGAUCAAACGUUGAACACGGAAAUCUAAGGUUUGUCUUUUU